CAAGUAGGAUAAAUGAUCGCGGCUGUAAAUUUACAGGUGAGGAAAGUCCGGGCUUCACAGGGCAGGAUGCCGGAUAACGUCCGGUGGAGGUGACUCCAAGGCCAGUGCAACAGAAAUAAACCGCCACAAAAUGAGCCUGCUAUCUAAGCGCACCGGGCAAUAGUGCCUGGCGUUUAGUGCCAAGGCUUGUGUGGUAAGGGUGGAAAGGCAGUGUAAGAGACUACCGCCUGCACGGUAACGGGCAGGGCACAUGUAAACCCCAUCCGAAGCAAGACCAAAUAGAAAGCGCUAUAGCUUGCCCGGCGAGCUUUCAGGUAGGUCGCUUGAGACUGUUGGCAACAGCAGUACUAGAUAGAUGAUCAUUCACGACAUAACCCGGCUUAUCGUCCUGCUUGAUUU
rnacentral:RNase_P_RNA from 1 species